AAUACAUAUCUAAAAUUGCAUUGCAGCUAAUAAAAGUAAUAAGAACUUGCACCUCUUUCUUUUUCAAUAACCAUUUUCGAUAAGAACUUGUCUCCCACAUUAUCAGGUUUACUCUCUUUCACCUUAUCUCUGUCUUUUGUUGAUUACUGGGUUUUUAAGGUUUCCUUAUAAAUUGUAAUUUUAAGAAAAAUGAUCAAUUUUUGAAUCACAUUUAUUUUAUAUUUAUGAUUGUAAAUACGAACAAAAUUGUUUAAAUAAACUCAGAUUUCUGCUAUAGAAAAAUCAGUGAUAGCAUUCUUGCAGGAAACUCAUGCUUGUCUCAGUAAUAAUAUUCAUUUUGUGUACAAAUUUUAAAUUUAGUAUUUAGAUUAAAGGAAAUUGAAUGUUUUAGGUUUUCACUUGGGGCAUAAUGUGGAGAUUAUGCCAAAUUUUAAACGGCUUAAAAAAACAGAUCCUUGUGUAGUGUUUUUAUAGGUCUUGUGAAUUCGGUCAUGAAUUUUUAUUAAUUAUAACAGUGAUCAUUAAAAAUGGUCCUAUUGUACUGAACUUCUUUGCAUUUGUUAGGAAAUCUACUUAAAAGAUUGAAAAUUAUCUAUUUUUCAUCAUGAAAUUCAUUCUUAUCCAUGACCAAUUGGAAUUGUAGUAGUAAGUGGUGAUGGAAGAUUGUGAAGAAAACACACAAUUGAAGAUGAGAUUUGCAUUGCGUGGACAAUUUUGAUGAAAAUUUAGAUUUGAACUCAUUUCCAUUACCGCCUCUAAUACCACUAACCAAACUCCCUGUUAGUACUUUAUGGUAGUCAUGCUUAGAGGUGUUCAUUUGUGUCAUCGGGUCAGGUGUUUUGGGUCGGUUCAAUAUCGGGUCUUGUGUCCACAUUAAUUUUUAGAUUUUUUACUGAAGUCGGUUCAAGUCGGGUUUGGUUAUAAGGUCGGGUAAAUAUCGGGUCGUCAGGUCUAUUUUGAACACCUCAUGCUGCCAUUAUGUUUCAAAAAUGUUACAUAGUGAUAGUAUGUUGUUGCUUUGUUGCUCUUUCUGAUAAUGCUCCAUUCGUACCAAUGAGGCAAUGACCCUGCUUCAUAUAAUAGUUUUCUUAUGUCUCCUUCUCCCAUCUCUUAUGAAUAAUGCUACCUACAAACAUGUCAAUCUUUUCUUCAUAGACUUUGGUUACCUUAAUCUAAGUGACUAGUAGUGCUGAUAUUGGUUUCUCUUCCUUAUACAACUAAAUGACCACUAACCUAGGCUAGUUUUUGGCUUCUGAACUUUGACCCAUGGAGUGGCAGUCUUGUCUGGGAUAAUGGUUGUAGGGGCUUAUAUUUGCAACUCAAUACUUGUUUAGAAAGGAGAAGAAUAAUGAAUUUUGUUUUUUUCCGUCCUUUCUUUUUUGUUUCAGGUUGGUUAUAGAUCAAAGUUGAAAUUUUGAAGUUGAUCGUCAGAAAAUGCUAGUUUCUUAAAAUAAAAGAAGGUUUAUUUUAAUCUUUAGGUAUUUAAUUAAACAACUUUGUUUGCCUACAUAUCCUAUGUUGCUUAUUUUAUGUAGCUGCAUCAAUCUUUUGAUGUAAAUUACUGAAGGGAUUGCUUUGCAUAUAGUUCUAUCUACUUUGCAUGUGAGGUAUUGUACUUUGUGCAAGAUCAAAACACAUUUUAUUUGAUAUUGAAUGUUUAAAGUAUUACAAAUGCAAAGUAUUGAUAGACAAGGUUGUUUAAGUUUUGAAAUUAUACUCAACCUAGAAGUGGUACCUAUUUUCAUACGGUUGUCAUUCUCAUCAUAUAUUUAUUAACAGUUUAUCUCCAUUUUUCCCUUUCUUUCUGUUUCUUCUACUUGCAAUGUGUGCGUGUGCAAAAUGAUAAAAUGAUUUAGUGCUCAACAUUCUAGCCACAGUUCAAGAUCAGAGAUUAUAAGGAGUGACUAACAAAGCACAUAAUUUAUGGAAACAUGAAAUUAAGAUGGUAACUUGAAUAAGUUGCCAUUUGGAUUCACCAUGACACUGAGUUGCAUAUAGUGGCAACAAAGUAUGGGAAAUGGGAAGCUAAUAUGCGUCCGUUGCUGUAAAUGGAUGACUGAAAGCCAUAUCAUAAAAAAAUUUGUUAAGAGAACUUAUUCUAACACAAUGGCCGCUCUGCAGCUCCUCUACUUUCUAUUUGUCAAAUAGUCAAAGUCUUCACAGAUGCAGACUGAGAUCAAAGUGGUUGACAUCACCAUUCUGGUCUUUAUCAAGAUCUAUUAUUACUGGUAUGGGACGGUCAAGUUGAUCUAUCAGAGGCAUUAAUGAUGCUUCACUAGUUGCUUCUGGCCUUUGUGAUGCAAUAUGUUGUGCUGCUUGAAUCAGUUGCGUUUGGAUAGGAGGUCUCCAUGCCUCAAAACCUUGUAUGCUUCUCUGCAUCAGAAGGCGACUGUUUCUUCCUCUAGUUGGCUGAGGUGGUGACGGAAGUAAUUGACGAAAGGGAUUGAAGAGCAGAUUCCUUUCUCUUAGUUGCCGAGUAUGCUCUGUUGGUCGUUGGCUAUUGUUGUUUAUUGCUGCUUCUAACAUAUGACUGUUAACAUGAUGCCUAAUUCCCUCAACAUCAACUGAGGUGAAACGACAUUGUCGGCAAAAGAAUUGGGCUAUAUAUACUUGUCUUUGCUGUGUGGGCUGACCAUUGCGAGGCAUGCUUAGCCUAGUAAGAAGAGGAAGAAAGAAGGUCAUCUAUGUAACUGUUGUCGGGGGACCUUUUAGGACGUUUUCUACGUGUUGGAAGGAGUUGCAAGUGGGUGACGAGAACAAUUUCUGUCACGAUGUGAAGUUUUGUGCAGAUCUUGCAUUAAUAUGUAUGGAAAAAGUAGGAAAGAUGACCGCUGCAUUAGGAGCCAUGAUGACAAAUCAAUUACUCAGGUGAAACGGCUGAAGCAGUGCGUUGACCUAUUGGAUCGCUUUAGCUGUUGUGGCGGCAGGUAUGUUAAGAAAAGGCAGGCUGACUCGUGAGCAUGAUCUGUACUCCUUAAGACCAUAGGCAUGAAGUAAGAUCAUUCAUAAUUCGUAUUGGUUGGAACAGCUGCACAACACAUUGUAACACUAGCAAGACGUUGCAUUUGUGACACCAUAUUGCAAAUAUAAGGCUGCAUCGUAUUGUGUUGAUCGAGUUGUAAAGGUUUUUAAAUCAAAUUAAAGAUGUUCUCAUUCUGUUUUGCUUUCAUUUAAUUUAUCUGCUCUUUACUUGUUUCUGGAUAAAUUAUUUCACCUGUCUUGGACUAGUGUAUAAAAAUUCAUUUAACAUACAAUAGACGCAAUAACAUGUUACAGCUAAAACAUACAAUCUUCGGACCAAUGUGGUCUAACAUCAAUGAGACAUUAAAUCCUGACUGCUAACUGUGUUCUACAAGAAAUAAAAGACUGAAAGAUGAAAUGAUGAAAUAAUAAAUAGCCUCUUUUUCAAAGUUUGAAUGUCAGAUUCACUUUGCACCAUUCAGGGGUUUGAUGUCCCUUCUCCAAGUCAAUCACCUUUGGUAUUGGCUUCUCCAACUGACCAAGGUACCAAACUGUUCUCUUAUCCGCUGACUCAUCAUAUCCUUUCUGCUCUUGAAUUUUUGGAAUUGCCACUCCCUGUGGUCGUGGUUCUCUCUUUGUGGGUGAUGAUCGUCGGCGAAGGACAAAUGGACUGCUACCUGCACUAACUCUUCCUGACACCGAGUUUGGACAUGUCAUGUAGAAAGCACACCUGGUAUUGGAAGAGGAACUCAUACAGAAUUGGUGACUCCGAUUCCCUUGAGGCAGCUAUGUAAGAAUCUAUAAGAAUACAAAUGCUUGUACGGAUGGAAGAGGAACUUUCUGGCGUAAUAUUUGCAGACUUGGUCAAAAUAGUCGAUCACACAUUGUUGGUAUUAGCCUAGGAAGGUGAAACAUUCUAACAGCUGAGGCUUCAUCUGAAUCUUCGAUACUGUGGCGAGAGUUGUGACAAUUGAUAAAACAGCCCAGGAAGAUGAAGAGAAGAUAAGGAAUCUCUCGGCGCUGCAGAAGUCAAGGAGGCUCUGCUUGAGAAAGUGGCUCAAAAGCUAGUCGCUCAAAACGCUUAAGGGCCAGGAGGACCUUUUACGUGAUGAGAGGCCUAGAAGAUUCUCUAGCCGAGGUGGGUUCUGAUCUAGGCAAUCUGGAGCCACGAGAGACCGUCUUAGCGUACACUGUUCAAGGUGGAAGCUCAAAGAGAUCACAUUCAAAAGCAUCUUGAGCAAAAUUCCCACAUACUUUGGACUCCCUAAAAUUGUGCUUAUGUUUAUUGCUAUAUGACCGGGAGGAGGGAGAAGAUUUCAAGAGGAGUUUACCGAUGACUUCCCGGGAGCUUUGAUGAAUUUCUUUCAGGAUGUACUCACCAUCUUUUGUACACACUUUAGCAGGGAUUCUGUAUAAGACUUUUUGUACAGAUUGUCCUCAUUGUAUUCAAACCAUAAGUUCUUUUUAGAACUGAAUUUGAGCUGGGUAUUGGUGUAAUACCAUCUCAGAGAAAUUUGAUAUAAAGAUCCAUCUAUGUUCCUUGAUCCAUCAAUAGCUGACACAAAUGUGUUAAUGCUUGGGUGGGGAGUAUUUUCAUAUGUUUAUUGACUCGAAGUAUUCAGCUGAACUUUCUUUGUCUAAGACGUCUGCGUGUGUAUUCUCUGACCUCAGAUUAUGAGUUAUAGUGAAUUUGUCCAA